rnacentral:rRNA from 1 species
GACGAACGCUGGCGGCGUGCCUAAUACAUGCAAGUCGAGCGGACUGACUGGGAGCUUGCUCUUGUUCGGUCAGCGGCGGACGGGUGAGUAACACGUGGGCAACCUGCCCGCAAGACCGGGAUAACUCCGGGAAACCGGAGCUAAUACCGGAUAACACCGAAGACCGCAUGGUCUUUGGUUGAAAGGCGGCGCAAGCUGCCACUUGCGGAUGGGCCCGCGGCGCAUUAGCUAGUUGGUGAGGUAACGGCUCACCAAGGCGACGAUGCGUAGCCGGCCUGAGGGGGUGACCGGCCACACUGGGACUGAGACACGGCCCAGACUCCUACGGGAGGCAGCAGUAGGGAAUCUUCCGCAAUGGGCGAAAGCCUGACGGAGCGACGCCGCGUGAGCGAAGAAGGCCUUCGGGUCGUAAAGCUCUGUUGUGAGGGACGAAGGAGCGCCGUUUGAAGAAGGCGGCGCGGUGACGGUACCUCACGAGGAAGCCCCGGCUAACUACGUG